rnacentral:piRNA from 1 species
AGAUCAAGGUGCUGGUAGAUUGAGUGUC